UACGUAGGGGGCAAGCGUUGUCCGGAUUUAUUGGGCGUAAAGCGCGUGUAGGCGGCCCAGGUAGGUCCGCUGUGAAAACCCGAGGCUCAACCUCGGGACGUCGGCGGAAACCAUCUGGCUAGAGUCCGGAAGAGGAGAGUGGAAUUCCCGGUGUAGCGGUGAAAUGCGCAGAUAUCGGGAAGAACACCCGUGGCGAAGGCGGCUCUCUGGGACGGUACUGACGCUGAGACGCGAAAGCGUGGG
rnacentral:rRNA from 1 species